rnacentral:rRNA from 1 species
UGGGGAAUUUUGGACAAUGGGGGCAACCCUGAUCCAGCAAUGCCGCGUGAGUGAAGAAGGCCUUCGGGUUGUAAAGCUCUUUUGUCAGGGAAGAAACGGUAGUAGCGAAUAACUAUUACUAAUGACGGUACCUGAAGAAUAGGCACCGGCUAACUACGUGCCAGCAGCCGCGGUAAUACGUAGGGUGCAAGCGUUAAUCGGAAUUACUGGGCGUAAAGCGUGCGCAGGCGGUUGUGUAAGUCAGAUGUGAAAUCCCCGGGCUCAACCUGGGAAUUGCAUUUGAGACUGCACGGCUAGAGUGUGUCAGAGGGGGGUAGAAUUCCACGUGUAGCAGUGAAAUGCGUAGAUAUGUGGAGGAAUACCGAUGGCGAAGGCAGCCCCCUGGGAUAACACUGACGCUCAUGCACGAAAGCGUGGGGAGCAAACAGGAUUAGAUACCCCGGUAGUCCCUGAGCGGGCUGGCAAGGCGCAU